UACGGAGGGUGCAAGCGUUAUCCGGAUUUACUGGGUUUAAAGGGUGCGUAGGUGGGUAGGAAAGUCAGUGGUGAAAUCUCCGGGCUUAACCCGGAACGGUCAGGUGAUACUGUUUUGCUAGAGUGCGGAAGGGGCAAUCGGAAUCCUCGGUGUAGCGGUGAAAUGCGUAGAUAUCGAGAGGAACACCAGAGGUGAAGACGGGUUGCUGGGCCGACACUGACGCUGACAGCGCGAAAGCCAGGGGAGCAAACGGG
rnacentral:rRNA from 1 species